rnacentral:tRNA from 1 species
GGUAUAGUUUAGUGGUAAAA